AGCCUACGGGAGGCAGCAGUGGGGGAUAUUGCACAAUGGGGGGAACCCUGAUGCAGCGACGCCGCGUGGGUGAAGAAGCGCCCCGGCGCGUAAAGCCCUGUCCGCAGGGAAGAAGUAGGACGGUACCUGACCAAGAAGCCCCGGCUAACUACGUGCCAGCAGCCGCGGUAAUACGUAGGGGGCAAGCGUUAUCCGGAUUUACUGGGCGUAAAGGGGGCGCAUACGGCGAUGCAAGCCAGGAGUGAAAGCCCGGCGCCCAACGCCGGGACU
rnacentral:rRNA from 1 species